rnacentral:rRNA from 1 species
UGAAUACGAGACGCUAAGGCGUCGAAGUAGUGUAUGUCAUACUUCCAAGAAAAGCUUGCACUGUCAUAGAUAAAAAACGCCUGUACCAUAACCGACACAGGUGGGUAGGUAGAGUAUACUAAGGGGCGCGAGAUAACUCUCUCUAAGGAACUCGGCAAAAUAACUCCGUAACUUCGGGAGAAGGAGUGCCUUAUUCGUAAGGUUGCAAUAACAAGAUCCAAGCAACUGUUUAUCAAAAACACAGGUCUCCGCUAAGUCGUAAGACGAUGUAUGGGGGCUGACGCCUGCCCAGUGCCAGAAGGUUAAAGAAGUUGGUUAGCAAUUGCGAAGCUGAUAACUGAAGCCCUGGUGAACGGCGGCCGUAACGAUAACGGUCCUAAGGUAGCGAAAUUCCUUGUCGGGUAAGUUCCGACCCGCACGAAAGGCGUAAUGAUUUGGAUACUGUCUCGGAGAGGGGCUCGGUGAAAUAGACUUGUCUGUGAAGAUGCGGACUACCUGCACCAGGACAGAAAGACCCUAUGAAGCUUUACUGUAACUUGAAAUUGAAAUUGGACUUUAUUCGCGCAGUAUAGGUGGGAGGCGUUGAUUAUAAUCUUGUGGGAUUAUUGGAGCCAUCAGUGAGAUACCACUCUUGUAAUGUUAGAUUUCUAACUUUGAAUCAUUAUCUGGUCAAAGAACAGUUUCAGGCGGGCAGUUUGACUGGGGCGGUCGCCUCCUAAACGGUAACGGAGGCGUACAAAGGUUUCCUCUGAACGGUUAGAAAUCGUAUCUAGAGUGUAAAGGCAUAAGGAAGCUUGACUGUGAGACCUACAAGUCGAGCAGGGACGAAAGUCGGUCUUAGUGAUCUGACGGUACUGAGUGGAAAGGCCGUCACUCAACGGAUAAAAGUUACUCUAAGGAUAACAGGCUGAUCUCCCCCAAGAGUUCACAUCGACGGGGAGGUUUGGCACCUCGAUGUCGGCUCAUCGCAUCCUGGGGCGGUAGUACGUCCCAAGGGUUGGGCUGUUCGCCCAUGAAAGCGGUACGCGAGCUGGGUUCAGAACGUCGUGAGACAGUUCGGUCCAUAUCCGGUGUAGGCGUUGGAAUAUUGAGAGGAGCCUUCUUUAGUACGAGAGGACCGAGAAGGACAUACCUCUGGUGUACCAGUUAUCGUGCCAACGGUAAACGCUGGGUAGCUAUGUAUGGAGUGGAUAACCGCUGAAAGCAUCUAAGUGGGAAGCCCACCUCAAGAUAAGUAUUCUCA